CGCCUCCGUCCUCCUCAUAGCCUCCUGGAAGUUGAUGUACAGCUGCUUCCCGUACUGACCAGACAGAUGGACAGACAGACAGGACAAGCUGUUACCUUGGCGAUUCGAAUACUGUUGAUCCAUUGUUGGAGUGUUCUGACAUCGUCACAGCAAAGGUGGCAGUGGAAGACUGUGGAGCCGCAAACCAGACAGGAGUAGAAGUUUUGCCCAAACCAUCAGCUUCCCUUUGUUACACACACCUUGGCCUUCCCCUUUGGAACAUAGUAGAUGCCAGAAGCCCUCAGCAGGAAGUAACGUUUCUUCCAAG